UGUGUCAGAGGGAAGCAAUGCCUGAUUCCUCUGACAGGCUUAGCACUCUUGCUUGAUGUUUUUGAUUUGGAGAGGCCAAGCGAUGAGCGAAUUGAGAUCUCGGCCUGAGAGGUAACUUGGGCAAGGUGGUUCACAGGUGAAAGUAAAAGAACAGAAGACCUCCAAAGGCCAGCAGAUGAGCAGUGAGGCUACGGGAGCGGGAGAUGGGACUUGCUGGGGGCCGGCUGCUGCUCUGACCUCUGUCUCAGCCUGUGUCUGUUUCCAUUUAUCUUUCAGGUGCUGCACCCAACCUGGGAGAGGUGAAGCUGCCCACUGAGGAGGGCUGUGAGAAGGUCAUGUCUUCCCAUAUUUGCAGUCAGAUGAGCACUUGAGGU